AUUGAACGCUGGCGGCAGGCCUAACACAUGCAAGUCGAACGAGUGGCGGACGGGAGAGUAAUGUCUGGGAAAGUGCCUGAUGGAGGGGGAUAACUAAUGGAAAGGGUAUCUAAUAGCGUAUAACACCAGAUGUGCCAAGAUGGGAAUCGCUUGUUGGUGGGGGAACGGCUCACCAAGGCGACGAUCCCUAGCUGGUCUGAGAGGAUGACCAGCCACACUGGAACUGAGACACGGUCCAGACUCCUACGGGAGGCAGCAGUGGGGAAUAUUGCACAAUGGGCGCAAGCCUGAUGCAGCCAUGCCGCGUGUAUGAAGAAGGCCUUCGGGUUGUAAAGUACUUUCAGCGGGGAGGCGUUACCCGCAGAAGAAGCACCGGCUAACUCCGUGCCAGCAGCCGCGGUAAUUC
rnacentral:rRNA from 1 species